UACGUAGGGAGCGAGCGUUGUCCGGAUUCAUUGGGCGUAAAGAGCUCGUAGGCGGCUUGGUAAGUCGGAUGUGAAACCUCCAGGCUCAACCUGGAGUCGCCAUCCGAUACUGCCAUGGCUAGAGUCCGGUAGGGGCCCACGGAAUUCCUGGUGUAGCGGUGAAAUGCGCAGAUAUCAGGAGGAACACCGAUGGCGAAGGCAGUGGGCUGGGCCGGCACUGACGCUGUGGCGCGAAAGCUAGGGGAGCGAACGGG
rnacentral:rRNA from 1 species